rnacentral:rRNA from 1 species
UACGGGGGGGGCAAGCGUUGUUCGGAAUUACUGUGCGUAAAGGGCUCGUAGGCGGCCAACUAAGUCCGACGUGAAAUCCCCAGGCUCAACUUGGGAACUGCGUCUGAUACUGGAUGGCUUGAAUUCGGGAGAGGGAUGCAGAAUUCCAGGUGUAGCGGUGAAAUGCGUAGAUAUCUGGAGGAAUACCGGUGGCGAAGGCGGCAUCCUGGACCGAUAUUGACACUGAUGAGCGAAAGCGUGGGGAGCGAACAGG